AACGAACGCUGGCGGCAUGCCUAACACAUGCAAGUCGAACGAGAUCCUUCGGGGUCUAGUGGCGCACGGGUGCGUAACGCGUGGGAAUCUGCCCUUAGGUUCGGAAUAGCAGUUAGAAAUGACUGCUAAUACCGGAUGAUGACGUUAAGUCCAAAGAUUUAUCGCCUGAGGAUGAGCCCGCGUAGGAUUAGCUAGUUGGUGUGGUAAAGGCGCACCAAGGCGACGAUCCUUAGCUGGUCUGAGAGGAUGAUCAGCCACACUGGGACUGAGACACGGCCCAGACUCCUACGGGAGGCAGCAGUGGGGAAUAUUGGACAAUGGGCGCAAGCCUGAUCCAGCAAUGCCGCGUGAGUGAUGAAGGCCUUAGGGUUGUAAAGCUCUUUUACCCGGGAUGAUAAUGACAGUACCGGGAGAAUAAGCCCCGGCUAACUCCGUG
rnacentral:rRNA from 1 species